rnacentral:rRNA from 1 species
AGAGUUUGAUCCUGGCUCAGAUUGGACGCUGGCGGAAUGCUUUACACAUGCAAGUCGAACGGCAGCACGGGAGCUUGCUCCUGGUGGCGAGUGGCGAACGGGUGAGUAAUACAUAGGAACAUACCCAGUAAUGGGGGAUAACGCCGAGAAAUCGGUGCUAAUACCGCAUACGCCCUACGGGGGAAAGCGGGGGAUCUUCGGACCUCGCGUUAUUGGAUUGGCCUAUGUCUGAUUAGCUAGUUGGUGAGGUAAAGGCUCACCAAGGCGACGAUCAGUAGCUGGUCUGAGAGGAUGAUCAGCCACACUGGAACUGAGACACGGUCCAGACUCCUACGGGAGGCAGCAGUGGGGAAUUUUGGACAAUGGGCGAAAGCCUGAUCCAGCCAUUCCGCGUGAGUGAAGAAGGCCUUCGGG